GAAAGACUUCGCUGCUCAGGGCAUUGAUGGAUUUAAUAAGAGAGUGUACCACAGCCAUGACAUAUAUUUUGUCUCUCUCAUCAUUGCAUGCUGCUUAUUGGCUGUUCAAGGACCACAGAGCUUCAUCGGUGGGCUUCCUCCUGAUUGGCUGUUCCUCUGUCCUUUCAGUCUUUUCUCCCAGUAAUCAAACUGUCAAGUCACUCCAGAAUGAUGUAGAAUGGGCAGGUGAAUCACUUGGUCCUGCGCUCAUUACUUUUGACUUCUUGUGGCUAAGUGAGGACCACAUCACUGCUCGUGUCCUCCUGAUUGGCUCUACUUUUUUUGUAAUACUCUCUGAUUGGCUAUCGUCAGAUGGGUUGGUCAUUAUGUCACGCUGCCUGGCCUUUUCCACCCUCUCCUGUUCGCUGACAGUGUGUGCAUUUGCUGAAAAUGCAGCAGGGGCAGUAGGGAGUGUAGCACUCAGUCUCCCUUUAUUAGUUUCCCCAAGGAGCAGAUCUGGAUCUUUGGGUUCCCUCAUGUUGCCUACAGAAGGACUUCUCAGCUGGAUCCUUAAAGUCAUCAUGGCAUUAGGAUGCUGGACCACUGGGAAGGCCCUUAAUAAAUACCUGUUUGAUUUAAAAGGCUGGGACUGAUGUAAGCAAUGGUUUCCAAAGACAACAGAAAACCACAAAAUGCUACUUUCUUACUGUCAGGUUAUUAUCAGGCAUAUACACUCUGUGUUACUGCAUGUAAAGGCCUUCUGCCUUAAUAAGCUAACAUUAU